UACGUAGGGACCAAGCGUUGUUCGGAUUUACUGGGCGUAAAGGGCGCGUAGGCGGCCUAGCAAGUCACUUGUGAAAUCUCCGGGCUUAACUCGGAACUGCCAAGUGAAACUGCUGGGCUAGAGUGCAGAAGGGGCAAUCGGAAUUCUUGGUGUAGCGGUGAAAUGCGUAGAUAUCAAGAGGAACACCUGAGGUGAAGACGGGUUGCUGGGCUGACACUGACGCUGAGGCGCGAAAGCCAGGGGAGCAAACGGG
rnacentral:rRNA from 1 species